UCUCUUUCUCUCUCUCUCUCUCUCUCUCUCUCUCUCUCUCAGCCCUUCCCCCUCCCCCAUCACCAACUUGCUCAGUAUAGGGAAACAAAGUGCUACAGCCUACCCAUCGUAAAUGUUGGCGGGUUAGUCGGGUCUGUGCAGCUGAUUGGCCGGACCUUUACCCUGAGCCUGAAAAAGCGCCGCUGCAGCAAAAAAAAAAAAAAGUAUCCCCGCCCGACACCCACCCCCCAAAAAAGAAAGAAGAAAAGACGAGAUGUAGCUCCUUCCUCUCUCUCUUUGUCCUCCAUCCUUUCACUUCAUUGUAUUGCAGUGUUUACAGGCAAAAAAACAAUAAUAAAAAAGAUGCCUGUAAAAACUGCGCUAUCAUUUCUACCGAAUAACUAUAAAUUGUAUUCCAGCCGAUAGUAUGUCUGUGCAAACUACAUUCAAACUAUGACGGUCAACUAAAUGCACUUUUUUUUUUUUUUUAUUUGAUUUGAUGACUCAAACGCAACGUUUGGGUCACGCAGCACGCGCAUUCCAGAAUGUAAAAUAAUGACCAAGAGAGCUGUCAGUGCUGCCGUACUGCGGUCAAGCAUUUACCUCUUAAAUCAGCUCUGUGUUUGGCCACGGCUCGUGACAGCGCGCACUGAAAGACGCAGUGGGUUCAAUGCGCCUUGGCUGGGAAAGAGGAGCUGGAAGGAGGAAAGAGACGAAGCUGCUGGCUGCGAGAAAGAGGAACAUUGGGCUCUGAUGAUCUGCGAUACGAUCCAUGUUUGAGGGCAAACAAAAUGACGAAAUGUGAGAGCGGACUGGGGGGGGGCUGGAGGGUCCGGGAGAAAAACAAAAACAAUUGACGUCAUCGGUAUGAUGACUACUGCAUAGCAAGACAGAAAUAUUGCGUGGCUGCAGAAGUGUCACAUCUCUAAACAGAGACAGAAGCAGAGGUCAUGGAGGGUAGGGCUAAAAGAAAAAGAACUGAACCUCCAACCUCUAAUCCAACUUGGA